UACAGAGGGUGCGAGCGUUAAUCGGAAUUACUGGGCGUAAAGCGUGCGUAGACGGUCAUGUAAGUCGGGUGUGAAAGCCCCGGGCUCAACCUGGGAAUUGCAUUCGAGACUGCAUGGCUAGGAUGCGGAAGAGGGAAGCGGAAUUUCCGGUGUAGCGGUGAAAUGCGUAGAUAUCGGAAGGAACACCAGUGGCGAAGGCGACUCACUGGACACGUAUUGACGCUGAGGUGCGAAAGCGUGGGGGAGCAAACAGG
rnacentral:rRNA from 1 species